GUAACAACCACAUAUAGACAAAAUUUACAAUGUCAUUUGGAUAAUCUGCUUUUUAUUAACAUGUUUUUUUCGUUUCAGGUUUUACAAUCUGAUGACAUGACAAUCCAGUGCUAAAGUCAAUCUCUGAGCAACCAGCGCUGGAUGUUGAGUUUGGAGGGUCAAGUUGUGUGUGAAGGAGCACAGCCCACCUUCAUCACCGGCCUGGCAGCGCUGUUUGCCUCCUUCUAUAAUUUCAAUUUACAGUACCAGGAAGAGGCAGCAUGCACCCUUGAGUUUGUUCAUAGAUGCUUUGUUGACAUCAAUCCUGAACGGGGAUCGAAAGCAAAAAAAAGAGAAGUUACUUCAAAGAAAACCGGCCAAAUUGUGCAAAGAAAGAACAACACUGUAAGCCCACCAGUUUCCUCACUUCUGCAAAAACUUGCAGACUUUGAAUGGAACUUUGUUUAGAUCCUGUCAGCAGGUAUAUUCAAAGUAAAUACUGCAUCGUUAACUCCAUUCAUAAAAAUACAACUGGGAUUUCAGCCAAUUUGCUGUUCUAUUUUUCUUUUUUUACUCUUUCUAGCACUUUCAA